AUUGAACGCUGGCGGCAUGCUUUACACAUGCCAGUCGAACGGUAACAGCACUUCGGUGGCUGACGAGUGGCGAACGGGUGAGUAAUACAUCGGAACGUGCCUAGUAGUGGGGGAUAACUACUCGAAAGAGUAGCUAAUACCGCAUGAGAUCUAAGGAUGAAAGCAGGGGACCUUCGGGCCUUGCGCUACUAGAGCGGCUGAUGGCAGAUUAGGUAGUUGGUGGGAUAAAAGCUUACCAAGCCGACGAUCUGUAGCUGGUCUGAGAGGACGACCAGCCACACUGGGACUGAGACACGGCCCAGACUCCUACGGGAGGCAGCAGUGGGGAAUUUUGGACAAUGGGCGCAAGCCUGAUCCAGCAAUGCCGCGUGCAGGAUGAAGGCCUUCGGGUUGUAAACUGCUUUUGUACGGAACGAAAAGCCCUCUUCUAAUACAGGAGGGUCAUGAAGGUACCGUAAGAAUAAGCACCGGCUAACUACGUG
rnacentral:rRNA from 1 species